AAGCCUCUUGAAGUUCAUCUGGCUUCUCACCAUGUCUGGAGCAUCAACAAGAGCCCUAUUUUGGUCAAUGACAUCGACGAUGACAACAAGUUUCCCGUAAUCCUUCCCGUAGUUGACGAGGGCAACUCUUCCGAUCUCUACAAACCUCUUGAACGGCAUUUUCGGCGAUCUGAUGGUGAUGCUAUCAGGCGCGAAGAGUGAG
rnacentral:misc_RNA from 1 species